rnacentral:rRNA from 1 species
GUACUACUCUCAGAGUUUGAUCCUGGCUCAGGACGAACGCUGGCGGCACGCCUAACACAUGCAAGUCGAACGGUGAAGAGGAGCUUGCUCCUCGGAUCAGUGGCGGACGGGUGAGUAACACGUGAGCAACCUGCCUUUCAGAGGGGGACAACAGUUGGAAACGACUGCUAAUACCGCAUAAUGUCAUUUAAAGGCAUCUUUGAAUGACCAAAGAUUUAUCGCUGAAAGAUGGGCUCGCGUCUGAUUAGAUAGUUGGUGAGGUAACGGCUCACCAAGUCGACGAUCAGUAGCCGGACUGAGAGGUUGAACGGCCACAUUGGGACUGAGACACGGCCCAG